UCCCUGCUGGCGCAAUGGUAGCGCGCAAGACUUCUAAGUAGAGUAUCUACGUUUGAAUUGAUCUUGAGGCUGUAGGUUCGAGACCUACGUAGGGAG